GUGGAGCAUGUGGCUUAAUUUGACUCAACGCGGGGAAUCUUACUAGGUCAGGACCAUCGAUGCGGGUUCGCGUCGUACGUAUGAAUGUCGUAGUGUUGCUACUACACAAUUGUUGGAUGAGUGGUGCAUGGCCGUUCUUAGUUCGUGAUGCAAUUUGUCUACUUAAUUGUUGGUUGCGUAUGAUUCACGUCAUCGUAACCGUAACGAACGAGACCGUGUUGCGACAUUCGUACGUACACAGAGCAACCGCAAACUUGUUAGGAAGGACACGGCAAUAACAGGUCUGUGAUGCCCUCAGAUGUUCUAGGCCGCACACGUGCUACAAUCUGAUUGUCGCCACGUAUGCAUGUAAGAUUCACCGCCGCGAGUCGAACUAAUCUACGACGGUUGGGAUCACCGUUUGUAAUUAUUCGGUAUCACAACUAGGAAUGCCUCGUACGGUGCAGUUCAACAGAUUCCCUGGAAUCCGUCCCUGCCCUUUGUACACACCGCCCGUCGCUCUUACCGAUGGUGGUGGGUUCGAGUUGUGACGAAUGAUGUCUCGUAUAUUGUGAAUCGCUACGAGAACCCACCGCUAAAGGAAAGAGAAGUCGUAACAAGGCAUCG
rnacentral:rRNA from 1 species